rnacentral:rRNA from 1 species
CCUACGGGUGGCAGCAGUGAGGAAUAUUUGUCAAUGGACGAGAGUCUGAACCAGCCAAGUAGCGUGCAGGAUGACUGCCCUAUGGGUUGUAAACUUCUUUUAUAUGGGAAUAAAAUGUUCCACGUGUGGGAUUUUGUAUGUACCAUAUGAAUAAGGAUCGGCUAACUCCGUGCCAGCAGCCGAGGUAAUACGGAGGUGCCGAGCGUUAUCCGGAUUUAUUGGGUUUAAAGGGCGAGUAGGUGGUUUGUUAAGUCAGUUGGGAAAGUUUACGGCUGAAACGUAAAAGUGCAGUUGAAACUGGUAGUCUUGAGUGCAGUAGAGGUGGGCGGAAUUCGUGGUGUAGCGGUGAAAUGCUUAGAUAUCACGAAGAACUCCGAUUGCGAAGGCAGCUCACUGGAGUGCAACUGACACUGAGGCACGAAAGUGUGGGUAUCAAACAGGAGUAGAUACCCGUGUAGUC